GACGAACGCUGGCGGCGUGCUUAACACAUGCAAGUCGAACGGAAAGGCCCUGCUUUUGUGGGGUGCUCGAUUGGCGAACGGGUGAGUAACACGUGAGUAACCUGCCCUUGACUUUGGGAUAACUUCAGGAAACUGGGGCUAAUACCGGAUAGGAGCUCCUGCUGCAUGGUGGGGGUUGGAAAGUUUCGGCGGUUGGGGAUGGACUCGCGGGUUAUCAGCUUGUUGGUGGGGUAGUGGCUUACCAAGGCUUUGACGGGUAGCCGGCCUGAGAGGGUGACCGGCCACAUUGGGACUGAGGUACGGCCCAGAAUGCUACGUGAGGCAGCAGGGGGGAGUCUUACACAGUGGGGCGAAGCCUGAUGCAGAAACGCCGCGUGCGGGAUGACGGCCUUCGGGUUGUAAACCGCUUUCGCCUGUGACGAAGCGUGAGUGACGGUAAUGGGUAAAGAAGCACCGGCUAACUACGUG
rnacentral:rRNA from 1 species